rnacentral:rRNA from 1 species
AUUGAACGCUGGCGGCAGGCUUAACACAUGCAAGUCGAGCGGAGUGAUGGUGCUUGCACUAUCACUUAGCGGCGGACGGGUGAGUAAUGCUUAGGAAUCUGCCAUUUAGUGGGGGACAACAUUCCGAAAGGAAUGCUAAUACCGCAUACGUCCUACGGGAGAAAGCAGGGGAUCUUCGGACCUUGCGCUAAAUGAUGAGCCUAAGUCGGAUUAGCUGGUUGGUGGGGUAAAGGCCUACCAAGGCGACGAGCUGUAGCGGGUCUGAGAGGAUGAUCAGCCACACUGGGACUGAGACACGGCCCAGACUCCUACGGGAGGCAGCAGUGGGGAAUAUUGGACAAUGGGCGCAAGCCUGAUCCAGCAAUGCCGCGUGAGUGAUGAAGGCCUUCGGGUUGUAAAGCUCUUUUGUCAGGGAAGAAACGGUCUUGGAUAAUACCUAGGGCUAAUGACGGUACCUGAAGAAUAAGCACCGGCUAACUACGUGCCAGCCGCCGCGGUAAAAC